rnacentral:rRNA from 1 species
UACAGAGGUCUCAAGCGUUGUUCGGAUUCAUUGGGCGUAAAGGGUGCGUAGGCGGCGCGGUAAGUCGGGUGUGAAAUCUCGGGGCUUAACUCCGAAACUGCAUUCGAUACUGCCGUGCUUGAGGACUGGAGAGGAGACUGGAAUUUACGGUGUAGCGGUGAAAUGCGUAGAUAUUCGGAGGAACACCAGUGGCGAAGGCGGCUCACUGGUCCAUUACUGACGCUGAGGUGCGAAAGCGUGGGGAGCAAACAGG